rnacentral:rRNA from 1 species
UGGGGAAUAUUGCACAAUGGGCGCAAGCCUGAUGCAGCCAUGCCGCGUGUAUGAAGAAGGCCUUCGGGUUGUAAAGUACUUUCAGUCGGGAGGAAGGUGGUAAGGUUAAUAACCUUAUCAAUUGACGUUUCCGACAGAAGAAGCACCGGCUAACUCCGUGCCAGCAGCCGCGGUAAUACGGAGGGUGCAAGCGUUAAUCGGAAUUACUGGGCGUAAAGCGCACGCAGGCGGUUGAUUGAGUCAGAUGUGAAAUCCCCGGGCUUAACCCGGGAAUUGCAUCUGAUACUGGUCAGCUAGAGUCUUGUAGAGUGGGGUAGAAUUCCAUGUGUAGCGGUGAAAUGCGUAGAGAUGUGGAGGAAUACCGGUGGCGAAGGCGGCCCCCCGGACAAAGACUGACGCUCAGGUGCGAAAGCGUGGGGAGCAAACAGG